CGUUGCGGGGGGCGGGGUCGCGUCUCCGCAGCAACAGGGUGCGGCCGGGUGGGGAACGCGGGAGCGGGGCCAGCUCCCAGGAAAGCUGGUCUGCGAGCGGCCCCUGCCCGUCUCCCAGGUCCCUGCGCGACCCCGCCCUUCCCGAGACCCCAGCCGGGCUGCCGCCCGCGUCCCGGAAGCUCCAGCCUGAACCAUGUUUUUCACUUGUGGCCCAAAUGAGGCCAUGGUGGUCUCCGGGUUCUGCCGAAGCCCCCCAGUCAUGGUGGCUGGAGGGCGUGUCUUUGUCCUGCCCUGCAUCCAACAGAUCCAGAGGAUCUCUCUCAACACACUGACCCUCAAUGUCAAGAGUGAAAAGGUUUACACUCGCCAUGGGGUCCCCAUCUCAGUCACUGGCAUUGCCCAGGUGAAGCUUUCAGAGCCUUUUCCCCAAAGUCCACUUCCCCAUCACCCUCUCCCAGACAUUAAGACAUCUUCUGGCCACAGUCUUCUCAACCCUUGCCUGCAGAGAAGUUCCUCUGCUAGUCUCAUCUUUUCCAGGCACCCCAAGGCACUUGCCUCCUCCUCCUUUCUUUCCCUGAAAUGGAAGAAGCGUUUCUUAGAGGGCUCUCCCUUCUCUCUCUGCUUUUUCUCUGACUUCAUGAGACCCCCACCACACCUUUCCUACCCCUACUCUGGCUACAGGUAAAAAUCCAGGGGCAGAACAAGGAGAUGUUGGCGGCCGCCUGUCAGAUGUUCCUGGGGAAGACGGAGGCUGAGAUUGCCCACAUUGCCCUGGAGACGUUAGAGGGCCACCAGAGGGCCAUCAUGGCCCACAUGACUGUGGAGGAGAUCUAUAAGGACAGGCAGAAAUUCUCAGAACAGGUUUUCAAAGUGGCCUCCUCAGACCUGGUCAACAUGGGCAUCAGUGUGGUUAGCUACACUCUGAAGGACAUUCACGAUGACCAGGACUAUUUGCACUCUUUGGGGAAGGCUCGAACAGCUCAAGUCCAAAAAGAUGCACGGAUUGGAGAAGCAGAGGCCAAGAGAGAUGCUGGGAUCCGGGAAGCUAAAGCCAAGCAGGAAAAGGUGUCUGCUCAGUACCUGAGUGAGAUCGAGAUG
rnacentral:sRNA from 1 species